ACUGGGAGGUAAAACUCCACAGAGCCAUGCCAGCGACUGACCGCCCAGGGACAGGAGAUGGAGACGUUCAGCUGCAAAGGCUACGGAGGAACCCCCGCAAUUGGAAUCUCUCCAUGCCUUCUGCAGCAUGGAACAUACUCCGGGACCUACCGGGGCUCUCUCGGGCCACCUCUGAGUGCAAGGGAAAAGAGUGCAGUUCAAGGAAGGGAAUGUGUCUGUCAUCCCACCACUUGCGCGCAAGGCCAGUUCCGGGAUCAGCAGGCUUCCUUCACCAGCACGGGCUCUUCAUUAGCAACCACUGGGAGGGAAUGUGUGCGGAGUCAUGUCAAGAUGGGAAGGCACAUGUUCCCAUCUUGACAGCAGCAGAAAGAAAAAUGGCAGCAGAAGGAAAACAGCAGCAGAAAGAAAAAUUUGACUCAGAUGGGUUGAGAGGGCAAUGGCAAGCAAUCUUGGUACAUGUCAGCUGCAUCUCAGACAGAGUCUUGCUCUGUUGCCCAGGCUGGAGUGCAGUAGCACAGUCAUGGCUCACUGAAGGCUAGACAUGCCCGGCUCAAGCAUUUUCCCACCUCAGCCUCCCGAGUAGCUGGGACUAUAGGUGUGUGCCACCACACACCUGGCUAAUUUUUAAUUUUUUUUUUUUUUUUUUAGAGAUGGGGCAUUACUAUAUUGCCCAGGCUGGUCUCAAACUCCUGGGCUCAAGCAAUCCUCCCACCUCAGGCUCCCAAAAUGCUGGGACUACAAGAGUAAGCCACUGCACACGGCCUAAAUGCAUUUUUGACUGAUGAUAUUUUCAACUUCCAAUGAGUGUAUCAGGACAUAACCCCAGGGCAAGUUGAGAAGCAUCUGCAACGCGUGUUUACCCUCCUACAAGGAUGAGACAGCCCACUUCUGACUAGGGCAGUAAGGAGCUAAUUCAUAAAAGGUGCUGUCUAAACUGGACUUUGAAGAUUAAAGAAGAUUUUAAGCAGCUGAAAAUGGAAGAAGGAAAUUGCAGGUAAAAGUGAAGGUGAGAAAGUGUUCGUCCUGUUCAUGGAAUAGGAUGUUUUCUCUUAGUUAUUUCCAUAUUGGAAAUAGAGCUUUCGGCUACAUGUAUAUAAGAAAAAUGGUAUUAUUUAACCACAAAUGAAGACCCAGUGAGCAGUUUCUGAGCAAAGCAAUGACAUGCUGGAGUAAUGACAGAGGAAGAACAAUCUGGAAGCGGCCUCAGGACACACAUGUAGCAAGAGCAGGGGAGAGACAAAGUGUGCAUUGGAAAACAGGCAGACUGUAGGUAGGGUGAUCAUACAACUUACUCUCCAAAUUAGGACACUUUGGGGAGUGAAAGGGGUGCUACUGAUAGUUACACUACUUGGAGGCUAUAAGUGAAUUUGGUAGAGGAAGGAAAGUAGUGGGACAGGAACCUGAUGACCUAGCAGGACAGGAAAUCUUAGAUUGAUUCCUAUUUCUUCCAGUGCAGAACUGUGUCUUGUAAUUGUUUCAGUCCCUCACCAAGUCUGGCUCAUAGCCAGUGCUCAAUAAACAUGGAGUCACCAACUGAUGACAGAUAAACACGAUCCCUAGGUGUCAUGCCUGGGAGAUGCUGUCUACAUUUCUCCAAAAGGUCAAGGGUGGCAAUAUCCCAGAACUGUCAAGAUUUUCCCUUUUAUGACUUUUAAGAAUGUUUCUUCAAAAACCUUGUUAGCAAUCUACAUAAAAAUAAUGCAACAGUCCAGUUGAUUAGAAUAAAAAGUAGAAAUACUGUACAAGAAGAGCUGCCUUUUAAAAAUAAUCAGAAAGAAGCACAGUGAGCGAGAUUUAGACUCUUUGGCUUUAUUUUUAGGAGGUUUUUUGUGGUUUUAUGUUAAAGCAUUCACCAUUACUGCAAUAUUUAAUAUACAUUUUUUAAAACCCCUGGAAUGUCAAAUAACUAGGCUGUGCAUAACUCUCUCAUGAAUUCAAUAUGUAAAGGUACAAAUAUAAGGUACCCGUUAAACAAAAACAGAGAAAAAUCAAAGAAGCACAGCAAAAUCGUUACAGAGUGGUUUUUUUAAUUUUUCAUUUCUUGCAACACUUCAUUCUAAAAGAAAAAUUAUCACAGGAUUGAAAAACAAACUUGUUUUCCCUUUAGAUCAUACAUAAAACUUGACUAUUAUUUGAAGUUGAUAACAGAAACUGGUGUUUCCAAAGAUGUCACUGAAUACAAUACUUUUAGGAAUUGCUGAAUCAAAUUUUCUUUUCUUUCUUUUUUUUUUUGUAAAUGAGAAAGGUAGAGAGAACUGUAAAAUCAGUCACAAAACAUAUGGAAUACUGAGGGAUGAGUCUAACAAUCUGACUUACUCUUGUAUGUAUACACAUUCAUUUUCUCAAAUUAGUACAUACCAUUGGAAACUGCAUCAACCCAUAAAAAUAACUCAUAUGCCUAUUAUGUUUUUCCAUUUUAAGCUUAUAAUAGCAGUAACGACCUCAGCAAAAGACAUUUCCUUAGAAUUAAUGGCUGGCUGGGAGGCAGAGCCAAGGGCCACUGGUUCCUCCCAGCUGGUCAUUAAUCCUCAGGAAAUGCCUGCAUCUCCAUCAUUAUUGCUAAAACACCAUUAUAGAAAAUUCUCACAGUUCCAAUAUAUGGAAAUUUGAGGCCAUUUUGCAAGCCCAUGGUAUUCAUGUGAGUUAAUAGGCCACCACUGAGCACAGAGGACGUAAUUAUCAAAACGACAGAAGGGAAAAUAUUGUUCUCCUAGGUCUGUAAGAUUAUAGGAAAUGGGGACUAGCCUUAUGGGAAGAGGUAUAUUUGAAGCUAAAAGACAUUAAUUUAAAGGGAGGUUUGGAAUCACAUAUAUAAAAGUCAGUAAAAGACAGAGCAAUCCAUUCCCAUGACUUCGUUUAAAACUAUUUUUUUUAACGUGCAAAUAAAGGUUAUUUGGAAAUUUCCUCCCAAAUCGAUAAAUGAAUAUUAAAGAGAAUGCAGUCAGGAAGACUGUUUAUACACACAAAUUAUUAUAUUCAACCAGUGAAGUCUGGGGGAAUGAAUACAUUUGACAGUGCUGAAUGAGAAUGGGAUUUCUUUCUUUUAAAUUUUGGUUUAAAAAUUGAAUACACACCAUUAAAUAUUAUAGAGCAAACAUUUUAUUCUAGACUUUAUUACUGCUAAAACAAACAAAAACCCUAAAGUUCUGUCUUUUUGUCUUAGCUAGAGGCUUAACACAUCAAACAAGCAUUAAUAAAACUGAAGGCCAAAAUGAUAACAAAUACAGUGCUGGUGCUCUGUGACACAGUUUCAGUUCUCUGCAAAAGCUUUUGCUAGCUUCCAGGCUAAAUUGAAAAUAAAAAUUAGGUGUUUUCAGGUCUAUUCAUUCCUUCCUUAAAAUAAACUAAACCCAACAAAUGUCUUCAAAAGAGGGAAUUAAUCCAAAAAUCACACCAAAAGCAGUCUAUAAAUCUUUUGAAUGUGUUAUUGUAACAAACUACAAAUGUUGGAUAUGAUGCUUUACACUUAAUGAAAUUCACUGCAGUUUCUCAUUAUGCAUUACAAAUACCAGCCUGGUUCUAACAGGUUUAAAGUUAUAAAGAACUGUUAUGGGUUGAAUUGUGUCCCCUAAAAAGAUAUAGUGAAGCCCUAACCCACCUUGUCUCUAUGAAUGUGACUUUAUUUGGAAAUAAGGUCUUGGCAGAUAUAAUCAAGGUAAGAUGAAGUCAGUGGGGUGGGCCCUAAUCAAAUAUGGCUGGUGUCCUUAUAAGAGGAAAAGAGACACAGACACACAGGAACUGCUGUUACCACCAUGUGGCAACCAAGGCAGAGAAUGGAGCAAUGCAUCUAAAAGCCAAGGAGCAUCAAGGAUUACCAACAGCACCAGAAGUGAAGGGAAAGAGAUGGAACAGAUUCUUCCCUAGAGCCUUCAGGGAGAGCACAGCCCUGCCAACACCAUGAUGUCAGACUUCCAGUUUCCAGACUGUGAAAGAGCAAAUUUCUGUUAUGGUAAAGCACCCAAGUUUGUGGCACUUUGUUAUGGCAGCCCUGAAGAAACUAACACAGGACCUAAAGGAAGAGAUUUAUCAGAACUGUGGUCAACAUUCCCAAUGGAAAUCCAAGGAAGAUCGGGUGAGGCAAGAGGAAGCGGCUCGCUACAGGGAAAAGCAAUGGACUAGAAGUCAGGAAACCUGGCUCUUGUCAGAGCUAACAAGGUUGUGUGGCCUUGAACUGGACACAAUUGCUCUGGGUUUUCAUUUUGUCACCUGUAGAAUAUAAGAGGAUUUAACUAUAUAAUCUCUACACCAAGUCUAGCUUUAUAGAUGGGAAGACCAAGGACCACACAGACCAACAUUUUAAUACUUUCAAAUUCACUGUUCUGGCAUUGCUUGGACCUCAGGGACAGAAAGCAGGACACAGGAAACAGAACUGCAGUCUUCCAUUUGCCUCGAGCCAUGCUUACUGCAGCAAUGUGGCCACAUUUAUUUUGGUUGAGUAAGGCCCAGAGGAGUUUGCUAUGGAAGCAACAGCAACAUAUGCUGAUAUUCUAUAAUUAUUUUCUUUCAAAUAUAACUUUUUCUGCACUUCCAAGAUUGUCAAAAAUGUCUACAGCUGAUUCAAAAGCAUGAUUUUUGUUUAAAUAAGAUAAUAGUUACCACCAAAAAUAAAGAAUAUCACUUGU
rnacentral:antisense_RNA from 1 species